UACGUAGGGGGCGAGCGUUAUCCGGAUUUACUGGGUGUAAAGGGAGCGUAGACGGUUAUGCAAGUCAGAAGUGAAAGCCCAAAGCUCAACUUCGGGACUGCUUUUGAAACUGUGUAACUAGAGUGCAGGAGGGGUAAGCGGAAUUCCUAGUGUAGCGGUGAAAUGCGUAGAUAUUAGGAGGAACACCGGCGGCGAAGGCGGCUUACUGGACUGUAACUGACGUUGAGGCUCGAAAGCGUGGGGAGCAAACAGG
rnacentral:rRNA from 1 species